UACGAAGGGGGCUAGCGUUGUUCGGAGUUACUGGGCGUAAAGGGCGCGUAGGCGGCUCUGCACGUCCGUUGUGAAAUCGCCCGGCUCAACUGGGCGGGGUCAGCGGAUACGGCGGAGCUUGAGCAAGCUAGGGGGCAAUGGAAUUCCCGGUGUAGUGGUGGAAUGCGUAGAUAUCGGGAGGAACACCAGUGGCGAAGGCGGUUGCCUGGGGCUUUGCUGACGCUGAUGCGCGAAAGCGUGGGGAGCGAUCCGG
rnacentral:rRNA from 1 species